AAGAGCAGGCCUGCCAGCCAAGGAUAUCCAUUAAGCAUGGCCUAAAAAAAUAUAUUAAGACUGUACGCAAACCCUGAUAUCACGGUUGAAAAUGGCAACCCAGUAGGAGGAAAAGGGUCCCAAUCACAGGCAAAAGCAUCAGAGCCAGUGCCCACUCCCACGGUUGGAAGUCCCAUAAGAACACCAACCUACACAACCAUGAGAGGAGAAGAGGAAAGACCCUGUCCCAUACAUCUACAUGGAGGUGUGGAGGAAACUUAACAGCCUGGGAGAGGGGCCAGGAAGAAGCUGUACCUAGAACUCAAGUGUGCCCAGACCGUGGGAAGUGAAGAGGACAUUUCCCCAGGCACUGAGUCUCUUAGGAAAUUCAUCAUUCAUCAAAAUAAAGAAAUUGUUUCUACUCCUGUAAGACUCAAUGACCUUUCCCCACAGGAAAAGAGCAUAUUCAGGGGCCCAUACCACCUCUGCCCGGAACCCAGGCAAGUCGUCACUAAACUCCUCCUGCAUCGUGUUACAAGGAAUGAACCUUUAGGUGGAGAUCCAAGCAAUGCAAUGCUACCUUUGUCUGGGAAUUCUGACUGCUAUUAGAUCAAAGUGACUACAGGCAUAUAAAUAAAGUCUGGUGCCCUCCCCUAGUCUUCUCUGGGGCAGAAGAUGAUCAUCCUCAUGGUGUAAAUAUUGAUGAAAAAUAUGCCAUGAAGUUAUGUGUAAUCUAUCAACUACUGACAUGAUAUAGUACUAAGGGACCGGUCAAUCAAAAUUCGGCAGAUCAUGUGUGGUGGUGUGAACCAUCUGUAGGCUACAUGAACAAAGGAAAACAGUCAUCUGCAUGAUACAGUGGGGGAAAUGGUCAAUCAUAAACAUGGUCUCAUGGCUCAAUAAGCUUCCUAAACAAUUAUGGAGAUUAUGAAGAUAAAGAAUGAAUACAGACUUUUCAAUCCACUUAUUACUGCCAGUGUGUGCUUGAGUGUGGGGCCAGCCACUGCAACAUAGCCUAUCAGGAACUACAUGUGAAGAAAAGUGACUCCUUUCCUCAGCAGCCAUCAAUGGAGGGAGUUAAAGACUUCAGAGAAGCACCAUGAUCUCAGAAAAAAAUGAGCGUGUUAGAGAAAGAAGAAGGAGGAACUCUCAGAUAAGAGACCUGAGCCUGCAGAGUAGCGAACCAAGUCAGGCAAGAAGGAAAUCCGGUUCAACACCCGUUCCCAUCUUUCCUGGCAGAAACAGGCCUCCUGAUCCUUUUCUAUCUCUGAAAAUGAAGACUAUGGCAACCAAGGGAGCCUUUUGUAGUAAGAGCAGGAGACCACAGGAGGAAAAAGUUAUCUUUGCUAGUUCGCCCGAGUUUUCCCUCCCUCAAGUGUUCUUCCAUCCGACCCUGAUCAGAUACUGAGAAACAUCAUGCACAAAGACACAGUGUGCAGCAUACUUAAUGUCAACUCUACUUGCUGCCAGAAGGAUCAAGAGUGGAAAGAAAGCUGCACACAAAAGCUGGCCUGAGAACAAAUCUCCAACCUGCUUGACUUGAGAAGUCCACUGAAGAUAAGUAGACGCUGUCCUUCUAGACCAGUGUUAAAUGGAGAACAAAAUGAACAGAGCCACAGCUUUGGAGAGAAAUCCACUGAAACUCAGCAAAGGACUGCUGUCUAAGAAUGCCUUUCUUAGAAGACCUGAGCUAAAACAGCUAUUAACUAGGUCAUGGCUGUGUCUCAAGAAGGUUCUAACAAACAGUACUUGGGAAUAAAAAGGGCCACAUGUAAAAUAUCUACUGGGGAAAGAUCUUUGCUUUACAAUGUUCAUGUACAGAGAAGAAAAUGAAGUCUUCAUUUCCUGUGACACACCAAUGAUGAACCAUUUCACUGGUCAGGUUGCUUGCUUGCAUAAAUAAUAAGGGUCUUCUGAGUAAACAUCACACAAUCCGAUGUGUCCUGAUGCACAUGAGGGAAUGCACUGUGGAUGGAUAUGGAGAGUGUGGAGAAACUCUGAUGUUACUGCAUUUACGCCGAUCUCAUAAAUCAAGGUGAACGGCAUUCAUCAUGAUGCUAGGUGUGUGAACUGGAAGGAGAGAAGCAGAUUCCUGUAUAGUCUCCAGAAUGGCAGAGAGAUAAGCUAUCUGAUAUUUUUAAGAAGAUCUGAGGUCAGUGGAGGAAGACUUUUUAUCUUGAGCCUUUUCUGGAACAGCAAGAAGACAAGCAAGGGCUCAGGCUUUCCCAGGGGCAGCACAACCUGACAGAAGACAUCCUGUUGCCUGGGCUUUUACUGCUGAUGAGGUGUGAAUCAUGCAGAGAAAAACCCCUGGCAACAAGCCAUGAGGACCUGUCUUUUUCUGAAGCACUGGGUAAUCUGGCUGUGUUCAGAUUUUCCUGUCUUGUAUAACUUUUAUCAACUUACUUGCUACCUCUCAUUCACGAGCACUUCAUCUAUAAAAUGGAAAUGAUAAUAAAGCCCUCAACAUGCUGCCUAUGAAGUUUAUGUAAAAAUUCAGUAACUCAUAUCUGGGCUAGGAUUUCAGGGAAGCUUAAUGAUACUUUAACCACUGUGCAUUUUCUAUAUGCAUAGAUGAUAUUUAUUUAAAAAAAACAACUUCAAAAUAUAAUUUUACUUCUUCAGGGUCCAUCAAACUGUCUAGUCAUAUCAUAAGGACUUUUGCUUUUAGCCACACAGACCUGCUCAGAAGUAGAAGGACUCUGGGACAGAUGAUACUGGAUUUAAUGGCUUCAAGCAAGCAAUGAUACCAUUGAAUUAGUCUGAAACUACUCUCUGCCAGCUAAAUACAAUGACAAGCUGAAAUCAAGAAAACUGCACAGCUUUAAGAAAUGUUUUCUGGGCUCUUGAAUCUGUUUUCAUCCUGUUUAUUGUCAGUUAUUGACUGAGCUCUAUAUGUGAAGGGCUAUGUGCUAGUUGCUUUGGUACCAUAUAAAAAGUCUGAGAUACAAUCUGAUCCCUGGGAACAUACUACAGUAAGAAAAAUAUUGCAUACAAGAAUAACCAUACCAAAAGUAAGAAUAAAAACUACUAUAAGAAUUAUGUCAGCAUAGGGGUUAGAGAUAUUUACCAUUGGAUUUUCCUAUGCAGUUUGAGGAAGUACUUCUUGACCUGGGAGAAGGAAAGAGCAGGACCUCCAUCUACUUUGAAAUUGACCUUCCCAGACCCAUUUCAGAGAUGGUGUGUCCACUUGCAUAAGAAUCUCUGGGGCUGCAGGGAAGUG